rnacentral:tRNA from 1 species
GGCUCUGUGGCGCAAUGGAUAGCGCAUUGGACUUCUAGAUAAAUAAAGGUAUUCAAAGGUUGUGGGUUCGAGUCCCGCCAGAGUCG